UGAUGAUUGAUUUGCUGAAACUGUUUGCAGAUUCAAAAGGGAUUUGACGCAGAAUCAAAGUACAUCAGCGGAGCUCUUUUCAAAUGCAGAAAUUCGCUAUUGUUCGUUGCAGAACCUGUUAAUCUGUUGGUGUUUACAGGUUUGUUGAAAAGUCAUUCUUAUCUACGGUUUGUUCAUCUUCGAUCGAUUCUCUUUUCGGAUUCUAAUAAUCAAAUUUCGUCAUCUACAAGGGGUGUUCAACAAUGGGAUGCCAAAAGUGUGAAAUAAAAUUAUUGAUGGUGAAUAACCAAUUUGAUUUGAAAAACUUGGACUUGGACAGAUCUCAAGGAGUUGUUCAAAAG